rnacentral:rRNA from 1 species
GGGUCAGUAGGUUGGUCGUGCCACCGGUACGUACUGGUCUCACUGAUUCCUCCUUCCUGAAGAACCGUAAUGCCAUUCAUUUGGUGUUGCGGGGAAACAGGACUGGUACUUUGAAAAAAUUAGAGUGUUUAAAGCAAGCUAACGCUUGAAUACAUUAGCAUGGAAUAAUGAAAUAGGACGAUCGAUCCUAUUUUGCUGGUUUCUAGGAUUGACGUA